GCGGUGGAAUGCGCAGAUAUCAGGAGGAACACCGAUGGCGAAGGCAGAUCUCUGGGCCGUAACUGACGCUGAGGAGCGAAAGCGUGGGGAGCGAACAGGAUUAGAUACCCUGGUAGUCCACGCCGUAAACGUUGGGAACUAGAUGUGGGGACCAUUCCACGGUCUCCGUGUCGCAGCUAACGCAUUAAGUUCCCCGCCUGGGGAGUACGGCCGCAAGGCUAAAACUCAAAGGAAUUGACGGGGGCCCGCACAAGCGGCGGAGCAUGCGGAUUAAUUCGAUGCAACGCGAAGAACCUUACCAAGGCUUGACAUAUACGAGAACGGGCUAGAAAUAGUCAACUCUUUGGACACUCGUAAACAGGUGGUGCAUGGUUGUCGUCAGCUCGUGUCGUGAGAUGUUGGGUUAAGUCCCGCAACGAGCGCAACCCUCGUUCUAUGUUGCCAGCGCGUAAUGGCGGGAACUCAUAGGAGACUGCCGGGGUCAACUCGGAGGAAGGUGGGGAUGACGUCAAAUCAUCAUGCCCCUUAUGUCUUGGGCUUCACGCAUGCUACAAUGGCCGGUACAAAGGGCUGCAAUACCGUAAGGUGGAGCGAAUCCCAAAAAGCCGGUCUCAGUUCGGAUUGAGGUCUGCAACUCGACCUCAUGAAGUCGGAGUCGCUAGUAAUCGUGGAUCAGCAACGCCACGGUGAAUACGUUCCCGGGCCUUGUACACACCGCCCGUCAAGUCAUGAAAGUCGGUAACACC
rnacentral:rRNA from 1 species